rnacentral:rRNA from 1 species
CCUACGGAGGGCAGCAGUGGGGAAUAUUGGACAAUGGGCGAAAGCCUGAUCCAGCCAUGCCGCGUGUGUGAAGAAGGCCUUCGGGUUGUAAAGCACUUUCAGUGGGGAAGAAAGCCUUGGGGCUAAUACCCUCGAGGAAGGACAUCACCCACAGAAGAAGCACCGGCUAACUCCGUGCCAGCAGCCGCGGUAAUACGGAGGGUGUGAGCGUUAAUCGGAAUUACUGGGCGUAAAGCGCGCGUAGGCGGUCUGAUAAGCCGGUUGUGAAAGCCCCGGGCUCAACCUGGGAACGGCAUCCGGAACUGUCAGGCUAGAGUGCAGGAGAGGAAGGUAGAAUUCCCGGUGUAGCGGUGAAAUGCGUAGAGAUCGGGAGGAAUACCAGUGGCGAAGGCGGCCUUCUGGACUGACACUGACGCUGAGGUGCGAAAGCGUGGGUAGCAAACAGGAUUAGAUACCCCGGUAGUC